rnacentral:lncRNA from 1 species
CUCUCUUGUACUCUAUCAGCUUCCUAAGUCACAUGCUGCUAGGGCAGAUCCACAGACAUCUGUGAAAGAGACAGAGAGGAGAUGACUGGACUCUCAGGUGGGCUCCUGGGAAACCGCACAAAACCCAGAAGAGAUGGGACAGGACAUGGCGGCUCAUACCUGUAAUCCCAAUAUUUGGAAGCUUGAGGCAGGAGGAUUACUACAAGUUUGGCCACAGCAAAGACUGCAGUGAGAGUCCUGCAUCUACAGAGUGAGACUCCACUCAUAACAAAACCAAAAAGUCUAACAUGGCAGCUGGGUGCUACCUGGUCCUAGAGCUCUUUGUUGCCUUAUGUAUUGAAUAGUCUUGAUUGUCAAUGCAACAGGAUCUAGAAUCACCAUGGAAACAAGCUUCUGCAUGUCUGUGAAGCGUUUUUUAGAUUAGGUUAGUGGAGGCAGGGAAACACUAAAUGUAAGCAGCACCUUGCCAUGAGCUGGAGUUCUACACUAAAGAAAAAGAAGUUGAGGACCAUGGUAUUCUGAAAAAAGGUUGCAGAUACUAGAAGAAGUGAGUCAGGCUUUAAGCAGAAGCAAGAAGGUUUAAGGAUACACACACACACAGAGUCUUACUCUACAGACUAGGUAAACCUCAACAACAGGCAAUCCUAGUGCCUCAACCUCCCAAGUGCUUCCAGAACUGGUGUGAGCUACCACACCAGACUUGAUCAGCAUUGGUUUGGAUGUGAAGUGUCAAGCUUACAAUACAAUCUCCAACUCCUAUUCAGUUUAUGGAAUAAAACAAGCUUUAGUGGCUGCUCUCCAGGCUCACAGCAGCGCCGGAUGAGAGAAUCCAAAUCGAGAAGCACUGACACCAGGAGAUAACAACAACCUAAUUACAAGGAAGAAACACAAAGCCUAAAGGAAGCAGCCCCCAAGCUGGGCAUGCUCACACUGCACCCGGGAAGCUUGAGAACCCAGAGCCAGCCUGAGCUAUGUAACAAACCCAGUCACAAAGAUACAAUAAAGCAAUCCUCUAGA